rnacentral:rRNA from 1 species
AUGGACGCAAGUCUGAUGGAGCAACGCCGCGUGAGUGAAGAAGGUUUUCGGAUCGUAAAGCUCUGUUGUUGGUGAAGAAGGAUAGAGGUAGUAACUGGCCUUUAUUUGACGGUAAUCAACCAGAAAGUCACGGCUAACUACGUGCCAGCAGCCGCGGUAAUACGUAGGUGGCAAGCGUUGUCCGGAUUUAUUGGGCGUAAAGCGAGCGCAGGCGGAAAAAUAAGUCUAAUGAGAAAGCCCUCGGCUUAACCGAGGAACUGCAUCGGAAACUGUUUUUCUUGAGUGCAGAAGAGGAGAGUGGAACUCCAUGUGUAGCGGUGGAAUGCGUAGAUAUAUGGAAGAACACCAGUGGCGAAGGCGGCUCUCUGGUCUGCAACUGACGCUGAGGCUCGAAAGCAUGGGUAGCGAACAGGAUUAGAUACCCUGGUAGUCCAUGCCGUAAACGAUGAGUGCUAAGUGUUGGGAGGUUUCCGCCUCUCAGUGCUGCAGCUAACGCAUUAAGCACUCCGCCUGGGGAGUACGACCGCAAGGUUGAAACUCAAAGGAAUUGACGGGGGCCCGCACAAGCGGUGGAGCAUGUGGUUUAAUUCGAAGCAACGCGAAGAACCUUACCAGGUCUUGACAUCUAGUGCCAUCUUCAG